UUUGGGAUGCAUUUGGAAAGUCAUCUGAAGCAGCACUUACUGGAGCAAAGUCGAAUGAACAAAUGGAACCUCAACCAUGUACCUCCUUACCCUUUCUUUACCUUUAAUAAACGAUCUUUUCUAUAGCUUAUUUUUUUGUGUUCAAAAUCUUUAUGAUGAUGGCUUAUGCUAUGCAGGCAACCCAUUUGAUUGGAACACAACUCAAAUGUACCAGCAGCUGCAGCAUGUAUUGAAAAUUCUCAGGUGUAAUACCCCUUUUACUCCUUCAAUUUGGGCUAGAAAAUAUGAGUAUUUUCUUAAUUUUUGUUAAUAUUUUUUUUAUUUUCACUUUUCAUGUAAGGAAAUUUGGGCCGAAUCUUUUAGGUGGCACAUGCUAUAAGAGAACAAAGUAUAUGGUUUGCAUAUGAGAUCUUGGAGAUGUUCUGUGACUUUGCUCUUGCAUGAGUUUGUAUUAUUGAAAGGAAGAGGUAAAUCCAUUUGAAAAAUGCUUACACCUAUAAUUUGUUCUUAGUGUUGUUAUAAAUCGGUAGAGUAGCAUUAUUUAUAACUCAUAAUUUAAAUUACAUUUAUGCAUUUACACUAUGAUUAGGAAACUUGAAAGAGCAAUAGGUUCAGUAAGUGAUCUUAAAUACAAUCAAAUUCUAAGGGUGUAGUUUGAUAUUUCACUUUCUACAUAACCCAAAAGAUUUUACCUGGUUAUAAACAUUAUACAUUAUCAUAAUUGUUUUUUAGUUUUAUACUAUUUAUGAUUGUUUCUAUUCAACUUUGAGGACAUUUCAUUUUUCUGACUACUUCUACACUGCAAGAAAAUCAGAUGAUGUAGGCGAAUCGGUCAAUUAUCUAUAUUAUAAAUACUCUGAUAUUCCCAUAUAUGCUGUUGGAACAAGCCUUAGUACAAAAAAAUGUUUCUAACUAAUAUGCAAUAAUAAAGAUUGAUGAAUUAUAGUAAGAAUGACUGAUCUUGCAAGUGAAAUAUCUUACUGAGGAAGGAGAUAAUGUACCACCUCGAUGUCAUAAAGAUGACAAAAAUCUGGUAAAACUAGAUGGAAAUGUUGAUGAUGUUUGGAAUAAAUGAGAAGUGUACUAUGCGAAAUUUGAGGGAUCAGUAGCUAUGUAUGAUAUAAAAUUGCAUGUUGUGAAUUGUAGGCUUCUUACCUAUUACUAUUGUCAGUAAAAAAGGAUAUACAAAAUUUUGUCUGAGGUUGACAUGGAUUGUUGUUGCUGUUGGACUAAAGAAGAGGUAGGGGUAAAGUAGGAAGGACUGCAGGUAUGCUGGCUAGGUUGUGGAAGGGAUACCCAAAGGGUUGCUUGGGUUUUAUGUCUUCCGUUUUACUUCAUUAUGGUUGACCUGAGCAGGUUGUAUUAUACUACUUUCUGAAAUUGAAGUGUAGACGCAUUGGUUGAUGUGAUUUUUAUCAAUUUAUAUAAAAUAUUCCAUGAAUCCUUUUAAUUGACAAAUUAAUUCCUAAAUUUGCGAAUUGGAUUAUGUUUUUCAUGUCAAAAUCAAGAAUUAGUGUAUACGAACAAAUGUAGCAUAAAAGUUAGUGGAUGGAAUACUGAUGGUCAAGGGCAUAUUAGUAAUUUUAACCUAACAUUUGCAUUUUGUGGGUAUUAUGGAAAACGGUUUGCAAGUCGAGUUCAAAUGAUAGAGGAUGAAUUGAUACUAAGGGCCAAAAAAGAAAAUAGAAUGAAAAAUAAGAAGAAAUUGAGCUUGACUUCUUUAAAUAAUUUAUAAUGGUUAUGUUGUCCAUCUUUUAAGUGUUUGUUAUAGGAUUAAGUCAUUUUGAUGCUAAAUUAUCCUUUAAAAUGUUUAGUUAACUCAACGAUUAACUAAGGAUUUGAUUGUUCUCCUUGCAGGUAGGCUUAUGUAAACAUGAACGUAGAUAAUAAGGGGGCUGACGGAUGCUUUGCCCCCUCAUUCUCCUUUAAAAGUCCAAACUAUAGUAUACAAGUGUAUAUAUAAUUUGAAGCCCACAUAGGUUUUCUGUGAUACAAAACCAUGCCAAUCUUUAUUAAAAUUUCAAUUAAUAUAUAGAAAAGUAAUAGGGUUAUCACUAUGAGUAAACUUGGGGCCCACAAUUAAAAUCUCAUAGACUUUAGUACUUCACCCACAUUUUAGUUAUGGAUUUACCUCCAUUUACCUUGAUUCGUUAAAUUAAUUAGUUUCAUUAUGGCUCUUUUAAUUGCCGAUUAGCCAAUAUAGUGUAGGACUCCUAUAUAUGUAAGAUUUUUUUUACACUAUCGUUCAAUACCUUUUUCGGACACAAUAUAAACCCCUAUUAUUUUUAAAUCCUGACUCGGCCCUGUAUGUAAAG
rnacentral:lncRNA from 1 species